rnacentral:lncRNA from 1 species
GAGUGUAAGGUACCGGACUUCUAAAAUUAUAAAGUUACGGUGUCCAUUUGGUUUGAAAGCCAUUUGAAUGAUUCCGGUGAGGUUGCGGUGGAAUGUAAUAUACCGGAUUUUAAAUAUAAAAAUAAAAAUAAAUAAAAAUAGUGUGAGAUACUAUUUUUAUUGGAUUUAGAGGAGUAAAACAUAAGUGAGAAGUGACUUGUGCUGAAAUCGGAAUGAAAACAGAAGAUCUAGAAUUUUCUGUUGGAAACGGGACAGAUAAAUUAGCAGAAAAUGCAGUCUUAGAAAAAUAUAAAAAUUGGAGGAUAAGUCAGAAAUAUUUUUAUGAGACUAGAUUUAAAGUUUCAUAUUUUUCUGACACCCGUAGAGUGAGAAAAAAAAUCCGAUAGCUAUCUGAUAAAGAUUACAGUUCGGUACAAUUUUCAGUGACCAAACGGGGUCAAAACUGAAAAAUUA